GUCAGUGUGGUGUAGUAGUUUGAACGCUGGACUAUGACUCUGGAAAGUAGGGUUCAAAUCCCCACGCAGCUA